GACGAACGCUGGCGGCGUGCCUAAUACAUGCAAGUAGAACGCUGAAGAGAGGAGCUUGCUCUUCUUGGGUGAGUUGCGAACGGGUGAGUAACGCGUAGGUCACCUGCCUUGUAGCGGGGGAUAACUAUUGGAAACGAUAGCUAAUACCGCAUAACAAUGGAUGACACAUGUCAUUUAUUUGAAAGGGGCAAUUGCUCCACUACAAGAUGGACCUGCGUUGUAUUAGCUAGUAGGUGAGGUAAUGGCUCACCUAGGCGACGAUACAUAGACGACCUGAGAGGGGGAUCGGCCACACUGGGACUGAGACACGGCCCAGACUCCUACGGGAGGCAGCAGUAGGGAAUCUUCGGCAAUGGGGGCAACCCUGACCGAGCAACGCCGCGUGAGUGAAGAAGGUGUUCGGAUCGUAAAGCUCUGUUGUAAGUCAAGAACGGGUGUGGGAGUGGAAAGUUCACACUGUGACGGAAGCUGACCAGAAAGGGACGGCUAACUACGG
rnacentral:rRNA from 1 species